GGCCGAUUUUGUGAAUAGGAAAUCCUUUCACAGCAUUAAUGUUCAGAUGGUCUGCAAUGCUGACUGUGUGAUCAGCAAUGUUGUGGCAAAAUGGCCUGGCUCAGUCCAUGACUCCAGAAUCUUUCGGGCCUCUGAAAUCUAUCAGUGCCUAUCACAAGGUGAAUUCUCUGGUGUGUUGCUGGGA